rnacentral:rRNA from 1 species
GACGAACGCUGGCGGCGUGCUUAACACAUGCAAGUCGAACGGAAAGGCCCUGCUUGCAGGGUCCUCGAGUGGCGAACGGGUGAGUAACACGUGGGUGAUCUGCCCUGCACUUCGGGAUAAGCCUGGGAAACUGGGUCUAAUACCGGAUAGGAGCCAUUUUUAGUGUGAUGGUUGGAAAGUUUUUUCGGUGUAGGAUGAGCUCGCGGCCUAUCAGCUUGUUGGUGGGGUAAUGGCCUACCAAGGCGGCGACGGGUAGCCGGCCUGAGAGGGUGGACGGCCAACUGGGACCUAAGAUAGGGCCAGAAUCCCUACGGGAGGAGGCGGGGGGAAGAUUGCAAAAAGGGCGGCAGGCCGGUGGAGCGGAGCCCGGGUGGGGGAGACCGGCCUCGGGUUGGAAAACCCCUUUGCUAGGGACGAAGCCUUUUGGGACGGUACCUAAGUAAGGAGCCACGGCUAACUACGUG